rnacentral:misc_RNA from 1 species
UCCGAGUUGACCCCGGCAGUCUCCUGCGAGUCCCCGCCAUUACGCGCUGGCAACACAGGACAAGGGUUGCGCUCGUUGCGGGACUUAACCCAACAUCUCACGACACGAGCUGAAGACGGCCAUGCAACACCUGUCACUGGGUUCCCGAAGGCACAGUUUCCUUUCGGAAGCCUUCCCAGGAUGUCAAACCUGGGUAAGGUUCUUCGUUUAUCAUCGAAUUAAAGAACACGAUCCACCGCUUGUGCGGGUCCCCGUCAAUUCCUUUAUGUUUUAGUCUUGCGACCGUACUCCACAGGCGGGAUACUUAACGCGUUAGCUUCGCUACUGAAGGGGUCGAUACCUCCAACAGCUAGUAUCCAUCGUUUACGGCGUGGACUAC